GCACCAGUGGUGUAUGGUACACGCACCACCAUUUAUUGAUUGACGGUGUGAUUGAUCGUGGUGGGCUGGGGUUCGAUUCCUCGCCGGUGCA